UCAAGCUACAAAGGGCUUAUGGUGGAUACCUAGGCACACAGAGGCGAGGAAGGACGUGGUUACCGACGAUACGCUUCGGGGAGCUGGAAGCAAGCAUUGAUCCGAAGAUUUCCGAAUGGGGCAACCCUAAGUACGGCCUGUUGAAUCCAUAGACAGGUACGAGCGAACCUGGUGAAUUGAAACAUCUAAGUAGCCAGAGGAAGAGAAAACAACAGUGAUUCCCCUAGUAGCGGCGAGCGAAGCGGGAAGAGCCUAAACCGGUGGGCAUGCCUGCCGGGGUAGUGGGACAGCGACAGGGAAUCCGGAAGCUAGACGAAGCAGUUGAGAGCUGCACCAGAGGGGGUGAGAGUCCCGUAGUCGAAAGUGGAAGGAUACUAGCUGGAUCCCGAGUAGCGUGGGGCACGUGAAAUCCCGCGUGAAUCAGCGAGGACCAUCUCGUAAGGCUAAAUACUCCUGUGUGACCGAUAGUGAAGAGUACCGCGAGGGAAAGGUGAAAAGAACCCCGGGAGGGGAGUGAAAUAGACCAUGAAACCAUAAGCUUACAAGCAGUGGGAGCCCGAUUGAACGGGUGACCGCGUGCCUGUUGAAGAAUGAGCCGGCGACUUAUAGGUACUGGCAGGUUAAGGCGGGAAUGCUGGAGCCAGAGCGAAAGCGAGUCUGAAGAGGGCGUUAAGUCAGUAUUUAUAGACCCGAACCCGGGUGAUCUAACCAUGUCCAGGAUGAAGCUGGGGUAAAACCUCGUGGAGGUCCGAACCGACCGAUGUUGAAAAAUCGGCGGAUGAGGUGUGGUUAGGGGUGAAAUGCCAAUCGAACCCGGAGCUAGCUGGUUCUCCCCGAAAUAUGUUGAGGCAUAGCGGUUGUGGUAAUAGCUGUGGGGUAAAGCACUGAUUCGGUGCGGGCUGCGAGAGCGGUACCAAAUCGAGUCAAACUCUGAAUACGCAGUGUAGACACAGCCAGUCAGACGGUGGGGGAUAAGCUUCAUCGUCAAGAGGGAAACAGCCCAGACCACCAGCUAAGGUCCCGAAAUUACCACUAAGUGAUAAAGGAGGUGGGGGUGCUGAGACAACCAGGAGGUUUGCCUAGAAGCAGCAAUCCUUGAAAGAGUGCGUAAUAGCUCACUGGUCAAGCGCUUCUGCGCCGAAAAUGAACGGGGCUAAGUGGUAUACCGAAGCUGUGGACUUAUUUCGAUAAGUGGUAGGGGAGCGUUCCGCGAUAGAGGGAAGCACUAGCGAGAGCAGGUGUGGACGAGGCGGAAGUGAGAAUGUCGGCUUGAGUAGCGCAAACAUUGGUGAGAAUCCAAUGCCCCGAAACCCCAAGGGUUCCUCCGCAAGGCUCGUCCGCGGGGGGUUAGUCGGGACCUAAGGCGAGGCCGAGAGGCGUAGUCGAUGGCCAACCGGUCAACAUUCCGGUACUGGAUUUAAGUAGUGCAGGGGGACGGAGAAGGCUAGGUCAGCCGGGGGAUGGAAUACCCGGUUUAAGCAUUCGAGGCGAAGAGGCGCGGCGAAAACGUGCUGAGCGGAGAUGCGAGUACGACUGUCUACGGACGGGAAGUGGCUGAGGUCAAGCUUCCAAGAAAAGCCCUAAGCACGCUAACUUAAAUUCACCCGUACCCGAAACCGACACAGGUGGGGAGGUAGAGGAUACUAAGGGGCGCGAGGUAACUCUCUCUAAGGAACUCGGCAAAAUGGCCCCGUAACUUCGGGAGAAGGGGUGCCACCGAGAGGUGGUCGCAGUGAAGAGGCCCAGGCGACUGUUUACCAAAAACACAGGUCUCCGCGAAGUCGUAAGACGAGGUAUGGGGGCUGACGCCUGCCCAGUGCCGGAAGGUUAAGGAAGUUGGUUAGGGCAACCGAAGCUAGCGACCGAAGCCCCGGUGAACGGCGGCCGUAACUAUAACGGUCCUAAGGUAGCGAAAUUCCUUGUCGGGUAAGUUCCGACCCG
rnacentral:rRNA from 1 species